GAACUACUGCGAAAGCAUUUGCCAAGGAUGUUUUCAUUAGUAAAGAACUAAGGUUAGGGGAUCGAAAACGAUUAGAUACCGUUGUAGUCCUAACAGUAAACGAUGCCGACUAGGGAUCGGACAAGGAUUUAUACAUGACUUGUUCGGCACCUGAAGAGAAAUCUUUAAGUCUAGGUUCGGGGGGGAGUAUGGUCGCAAGGCUGAAACUUAAAGGAAUUGACGGAAGGGCACCACCAGGUGUGGAGCCUGCGGCUUAAUUUGACUCAACACGGGGAAACUCACCAGGUCCAGACAUAGUAAGGAUUGACAGAUUGAUAGCUCUUUCUUGAUUCUAUGGGUGG
rnacentral:rRNA from 1 species